rnacentral:rRNA from 2 species
CGGCGAGUGAAGCGGCAACAGCUCAAAUUUGAAAUCUGAGGUCGUUUGGGCCUCCGAGUUGUAGUUUGCAGAGGGAGCCUCGGAGGGCGUGCCGGCCCAAGUGCCUUGGAACAGGAUACCGCAGAGGGUGAGAGUCCCGUAUCCGGCCGGUGGCGCGCUCCGUGUGAGGCCUCUUCGACGAGUCGAGUUGUUUGGGAAUGCAGCUCCAAGCGGGUGGUAAAUUCCAUCUAAAGCUAAAUACUGGCCAGAGACCGAUAGCGAACAAGUAGAGUGAUCGAAAGAUGAAAAGCACUUUGAAAAGAGAGUCAAACAGUACGUGAAAUUGUUGAAAGGGAAGCGCAUGGGGGCAGACUUGGCCGCGGGGUUCAGGGUGCGUUCUCGCGCCUGCACUUCCCCGCGGACAGGCCAGCAUCGGUUCUGGGGGCCGGACAAAGGGGCCGGGAAGGUAGCCGCCUUCGGGCGGUGUUAUAGCCCGGCGCGCAAUGCGGCC